GGGGGUGACCCGGUUUCGACAGGGGAACCGAAGGUGAUGUUGCGUGUCGAGGUGCCGUUGGCCUCGUAAACAAACGGCAAAGCCAUUAACUGGCAACCAGAACAUCGCUCUCGCUGCUUAAGUGAGACAGUGACCGCCUAGCCCGGCCUUUGGCGCGGCGCGAACUGAACCAAAAGAAGGCUAGCCCCGGUGAGGUUCCAUAACCGAAGGCGAAAACAAAUGGAAAUACGGUGACGCGAAGCCCGCCCGCUGGCGGCGCGUCACCCGACAACCAAAGAGCGGGAUACACACGUAGACGCACGCUGGAAGGACCUUUGGACGGCGGUUCGACUCCGCCCACCUCCACCA
rnacentral:tmRNA from 1 species